CUAGCGUUUUCGCUGAAGCAAAAAAAAACCCUAGAAUUGGAGGUGGGUCGGGAGACGAGAAUGGAGGCGGUAAAGCGCGGCCGGUGGAUGGAUCGCCUUCGAUUUUUGAUAUGGAUCGUCUCUUUACUCCUCAUCUCUUGUUUCUCUCUCUCACAGUGUGACCGCGGUGUCGUCCGGGGGUCACCCGGGUUGACAGAAGAGAGUGAGCACACAGCGGCGACCGCACCGCCUCGAUGCCGUCGCUGCUGCGUGCUCACUACUCUCUCUGUCAUCUCCACCUCCCCGGCGGUGCGCGGUGGGUGAGUUGGGCAGAUGUAGAUGCUACUCUCCCCUUCGGUUUACUCCCGACUGCGGCUGGGCAAAACCCAACGGGCGAUAGGAAAGAGGCGAGGGUGAGGAUGCUUUCCAUGUAUGGAUUAUUGCAUCGAUGGAGGGGCGGACACGCGUGCGCUGCUCUCUCUCUUACUCAUCUCGUGUCGGCCAUCUGCUCCGCCGAGACGUCUCGUCCCUUAUGGGUUUGUUUCGAGGUGCGGAGAUGUAGCAGCGUAGGGUCUAUCAUUUCAUGGCAGUAGUUUGUUCCGCUCUCCUCCCGAUUUCAACUUUGAUGCGCCGAAAAAAUUGGAGUGGCAACUCGACGAAUCGAGAGGGUGAAGAAAUCAGAUAACAAAAGAAAAUAAAAGAGAAGGGGGGUUAGGGAAAUAACAGGAUAACUACUGCGUGACUUUUGAGGCGCAGUUGUUCAUCCGGCAGCGAGAUAGGAUGAGGGCAGGGUUACACGUCUUGUUCCUGUCUGUAUCUUCCUCUUCCUCUUGUGCUGCUGGACGGUCUUCUUCUUCUUCUUCGAUCCGUCCUCUCCUCCUCCUCCUCCUCCUCACUUUUUUCUUAUUGUUUGCUCUCCAUAUCGUCAAGGAGCUGAUCUUGGAUGAUGUUUCUUGGAUGAGAAAUCGCUUCCUUUCGCCAUUAUUCGUUGCUUCGCGCAUGCUAUCGGAUUUGUUGGAUCGGUAAUUCGGACUUCGUUCUGUGUUCGCCGUUGUUAAUCAUUUCUUAGAGGUAAAACACGCUCAGGUUCUCGACAAGGAGGCUUUUAUUCCCUGUCACCGAUGGUUACUGGCAUUUGAGUAAUUUAUGCUCUUUCCCGAUUAAGCAGUGCAUGUAUGGACAUUGUGUGUCGAUUGAUUGAUGUAUGUUAGACAUUUAAAUUCACGACUUCUGUAAUAGCGGUGUAAAACGUUCUUGUUAUGAGAUUGAUUGCAUAUGAUUUAAGAAGAAAGAUCUUGGACUUGCGUUUUCUUUCGUAUGAGUUCUAAUAAGCACCGAGGACUAGCCACUUAUUUGAUAUCGUUUCCUGAAUCUUGUUGACAAAUAUGAAUUGUUAGGUAUUACAAAGAGAUCGACACUCGGUAUUGUUUAUUAUGUGGAAAAUUCAACUUUGCUAUCUGAGUAUUGGAUAUUAUGGUGGGAUGGCAUGCUGUCUCGUUCAAUGACCGUGUGGAGUAAUCAAAGAUUUAGUUGAUUUUUGUUUUCGGUUAAGAUGAUUGUAGAAGAGACAUUGUGUUUCUGAGAUUAUGAGAAUACAACGCAUCACUGCUUUUUUCUUUAGCCCACCUUGGAAAUUUAGCUAACUUAACCCCUUUUUUAUGCUUUUGUUGAGACAGACAAAGAACAGCACUAUAAUUCUUAAAGAGAGCCAGAACUAGGCAAAUCCUUGUUGUCUACAUGGAAGAUGCAAGUACAGUAUCUUUGACUGAUUUGUGCAACAUAAUGUGAAAGUAGAUUAUAACCAUGAUGAAUUGGCAAGGAAUCAAGAGGGAAAAUUUUGUUGGUUCUAAUUUCCCUUUCUUUUUAUUGUGCAAUAGGAAAUAAUGUGGUCGUUCCCAGUUGAAAUAAUGACAUGGGUACGUCUUUAAGCUUUCUCUGUCCGAAGACAAAUGAAUCCAGGAGAACAAGCCUGGAACGUUAUUUUGUGUAAAUUAUGGUAAGAGCUUUGACGAUGGAAGAUGGUAUCUAAGCUAGAAGUCUUUUUCUUGGCUUAAAUUCACAAUGACCACUUUGCUUUGACAUUUUGACCCAAGCCAUUCCGUUUUUCGUUCUUCCUUAGCCAUUAAUACCAUCUCCCCGUGGGGAAAAAAAUUCUACAAUGUUCAUUUCUAUCAGAGAAUCAUUUAUCAUGUCAUGUUUAUUGUGCCUUUAGUUUGUUUUGUGGAUUUAGUGACCAUAUACGCGUCACAUCCUAUCCUUCACUUUGUCAGUAGUUCCAGAAGGUACAUAACUCCUCCCUGAACUAAGAAUAAUUGAAUGACUCUGCUACAAGGAGAAAAACAAAGUGCAUCUUGCUGUCAUGCUGAGCCCCAAUACAAGAUUUAGAAGAGUGGUCUAGAGUGGCUCCAGUUAACUUAGUUUCAUUGCCCCACCUAGUGUGGACUCGCCAUGCCUCACAGGAGCAUUUGCAGGAGGAAUCUCUCCUCUUUCUAGAGGAAAAAAGGUGAAAGAAGUUGUUGGAGACCAGCCUGAGUUGCACUGGAGCUGCUGGAAGUAGCUGAGCCGGCUUAAGUUAGGAGUUGCAUACCAUCCACCACUUCUAAGCAACAGUCUGCUGUCAAAGAUUUUAGAUUUUGAUGGUAUCCGACCAUCCGCCUUCUCUCAGGAGCUUCGAAGUAGCUGGAAAGAAGGGAACGAGAUUGACAGAAAGGCUUUAAAGCAGGAAAAAGGUUUCGAAGAUGAGUACUUUUUGGUGGGAUUUUGGUUCCCAUUUUCUCACUUGUCGAUCCGUAUUUUGGCUCGAGCGGAGAGAACUCAAUGGUUGACAUUUCUGCUGCAAUUGCAUCCACCGGGCAAUGAAGGCUCUGUUCAAGAACCUUCUCCGAGGCACAUGUCUUUUGGUGGCCAAUCCUUCGGAAGUGACCUUCCUAAGCCUGUCAAUGGAUCCGAUCUAACAUGAUCUGACUUUAGAUUUAGAUCCAAUUUUCCAUAUUAAACAGGCAAUAACCACAGGGAGUUGUUCAACCUCCUGAAGACAUCAUGAGC